rnacentral:tRNA from 1 species
UGGCUCAGAUGGUAAAGCAUCUGCCUACAAUGCAGGAGAUCCGGGUUCAAUCCCUGG